ACGGCUCAGUAACACGUGGACAACCUACCCUUGGGACGGGGAUAAACCCGGGAAACUGGGUAUAAUACCCGAUAGAUCUCGAAUGCUGGAAUGCAUCGAGAUCAAAAGCUCCGGUGCCCAAGGAUGGGUCCGCGGCCUAUCAGGUAGUAGUGGGUGUAGCGUACCUACUAGCCUACGACGGGUACGGGUUGUGAGAGCAAGAGCCCGGAGAUGGAUUCUGAGACACGAAUCCAGGCCCUACGGGGUGCAGCAGGCGCGAAAACUUUACAAUGCUGGAAACAGCGAUAAGGGGACCUCGAGUGCCAGGUUACAAAUCUGGCUGUCGUGAUGCCUAAAAAGCAUUGCAUAGCAAGGGCCGGGCAAGACCGGUGCCAGCCGCCGCGGUAACACCGGCGGCUCGAGUGGUAACCGUUAUUAUUGGGUCUAAAGGGUCUGUAGCCGGCCGGAUAAGUCUCUUGGGAAAUCUGGCAGCUUAACUGUCAGGCUUUCAGGGGAUACUGUCUGGCUCGAGGCCGGGAGAGGUGAGAGGUACUUCAGGGGUAGGGGUGAAAUCUUGUAAUCCUUGAAGGACCACCAGUGGCGAAGGCGUCUCACCAGAACGGACCUGACGGCAAGGGACGAAAGCUAGGGGCACGAACCGGAUUAGAUACCCGGGUAGUCCUAGCCGUAAACGAUACUCGCUAGGUGUCGGCCACGGUGCGACCGUGGUCGGUGCCGUAGGGAAGCCGUGAAGCGAGCCACCUGGGAAGUACGGCCGCAAGGCUGAAACUUAAAGGAAUUGGCGGGGGAGCAC
rnacentral:rRNA from 1 species